rnacentral:rRNA from 1 species
GACGGCAGCGCGGGGCAACCGUGGCGGCGAAGUGGCGAACGGGUGAGUAAUGCAUCGGAACGUUAUCCUGUAAUGGGGGAUAACGUAGCGAAAGUUACGCUAAUACCGCAUACGCUCGAGAGAGGAAAGUGGGGGAUCGCAAGACCUCACGUUAUAGGAGCGGCCGAUGUCCGAUUAGCUAGUUGGUGGGGUAAAGGCCUACCAAGGCGACGAUCGGUAGCUGGUCUGAGAGGAUGAUCAGCCACACUGGGACUGAGACACGGCCCAGACUCCUACGGGAGGCAGCAGUGGGGAAUUUUGGACAAUGGGCGAAAGCCUGAUCCAGCCAUGCCGCGUGCGGGAAGAAGGCCUUCGGGUUGUAAACCGCUUUAGUCCGGGAAAAAGGGGUGCGAGGAUAAUACCCUUGUGCUUUGAUGGUACUGGAAGAAUAAGCACCGGCUAACUACGUG